rnacentral:tRNA from 1 species
GCCGGAGUGGUGAAACUGGCAGACGCGCGGGACUCAAAAUCCCGUGAGGUUUACUCCUCGUGUGGGUUCGAUUCCCACCUCCGGCACCA